rnacentral:rRNA from 1 species
GACGAACGCUGGCGGCGUGCUUAACACAUGCAAGUCGAGCGGUAAGGCUCCUUCGGGAGUACACGAGCGGCGAACGGGUGAGUAACACGUGAGUAAUCUGCCCUUCACUUCGGGAUAACCACCGGAAACGGUGGCUAAUACCGAAUACGACCAGUCUUCGCAUGAGGUGCUGGUGGAAAGUCUUUUCGGUGAAGGAUGUGCUCGCGGCCUAUCAGCUUGUUGGUGGGGUAAUGGCCUACCAAGGCUUCGACGGGUAGCCGGCCUGAGAGGGUGACCGGCCACACUGGGACUGAGACACGGCCCAGACUCCUACGGGAGGCAGCAGUGGGGAAUAUUGGACAAUGGGCGAAAGCCUGAUCCAGCAACGCCGCGUGAGGGAUGACGGCCUUCGGGUUGUAAACCUCUUUCAGUACCGACGAAGCGCCCUGUCGGGUGGUGACGGUAGGUACGGAAGAAGGACCGGCCAACUACGUG